UCCCCUUGGCAAUGGGCCAAGUGAUACUUGGUUGGUGGUAUUGUCUUAUAUCUGUCAGGGGCAGAGCAGAUAUCAGUCCUUUGUUCAUCCUAGCUUGAUGUCUGGCUUGGUGGCCAAAGCUGUUUUAUGCCUAGGACACAUAA